GAUGUUAACAAAAGUUGUUCGUCUUGAUGAGGGCUACAACUUUUCUUAAUAUCCUUUUAACAAAUUAUGCGUAUUUAAGAAGAUAGUGCUGCGCAUGCGCAGAACGUAACUCCUUACGCUUGCAUUUUUUGGUAAGACGAUGUUAACAAAAGUUGUUCGUCUUGAUGAGGGCUACAACUUGUCUUAAUAUCCUUUUAACAAAUUAUGCGUAUUUACGAAGAUAGCGCUGCGCAUGCGCAGAACGUAACUCCUUACGCUUGCAUUUUUUGGUAAGACGAUGUUAACAAAAGUUGUUCGCCUUGAUGAGGGCUACAACUUUGCUUAAUAUC
rnacentral:miRNA from 1 species